rnacentral:rRNA from 1 species
AUGCAGCUUGGCCAGACGACGGUUGCAGCUCUGCCACUGGUGGUUGCAGCUCCCAUAGCAGUCGUAGCUUGCCCCGUCGAAUGCAACUCAACCCACCAUCGGUUGCAGCUCUGCCAACUAGGGGUUGUAGCUUCCCGUCGCCGUGGUUGCAACUCCACCAGGCCAGCUUCUACUCGCAUAUCGGUGGUCGCUGUCGCCGGCACCGGUGGUGGUCUCGCAGCACUUCGGUGGUCAGCUGAAGAAGGAGAAGGAGAUGGGAGAGAGGAUGCGAGAGAAAAAAUGGUGCCGCGUGUUGGGGAAAAGGAGUGGCUGAGAGCACCUCGUGUGAAAGAGAUAAGAUGGAUGGAGCAAAGAGCGGUGCAUGGGCCCUAUGCUACAGGAGCGAACAGAGGCGCUGGAUUUUUCUUCUAA